rnacentral:misc_RNA from 1 species
CCGAGUCCAGGUGGGCGACGCCCCGCGCCGCCCACCCACCUCACCACCCGUGUCUACGAUACCCGGUUGCUUCGGCGGUCCCCGCGGGUCCGCGCCCGCCGAAGACCCCCCUCGAACUCUGCCUGGAAGGUUGCCGUCUGAGCGAUGAGAAACAAACCAGCA